rnacentral:rRNA from 1 species
AGCGAACGCUGGCGGCAGGCCUAACACAUGCAAGUCGAACGAACCUUUCGGGGUUAGUGGCGGACGGGUGAGUAACACGUGGGAACGUGCCUUUAGGUUCGGAAUAACUCAGGGAAACUUGUGCUAAUACCGAAUGUGCCCUUCGGGGGAAAGAUUUAUCGCCUUUAGAGCGGCCCGCGUCUGAUUAGCUAGUUGGUUGAGGUAAUGGCUCACCAAGGCGACGAUCAGUAGCUGGUCUGAGAGGAUGAUCAGCCACAUUGGGACUGAGACACGGCCCAAACUCCUACGGAAGGGAGGAGUGGGGAAUCCUGCGGAAUGGGCGAAGGCCUGACGCAGCCAUGUGGCGUGAAUGAUGAAGGUCUUAGGAUUGUAAAAUUCUUUCACCGGGGACGAUAAUGACGGUACCCGGAGAAGAAGCACCGGCUAACUUCGUG